rnacentral:rRNA from 1 species
UACUACCGAAGCUACGGCAUCAGUAAUGAUGGGUAGGGGAGCUUCCCAUACGGGUUGAAGCAUGACCGUAAGGACAUGUGGACAGUAUGGGCGUGAGAAUGUUGGCAUGAGUAGCGAGAUGUGGGUGAGAAUCCCACAGGCCGUAAACCCAAGGUUUCCAGGGGAAGGUUCGUCCGCCCUGGGUUAGUCGGGACCUAAGCUG